rnacentral:rRNA from 1 species
AUGUUCACGGCUUUCCAGGUGGACGAACAUACGUUCAAGGUGUGUUCUAUUUUGGGCAUGUCGGAUUCAGAACCUGAAGACCCAGACAAAGGAAGGAACUACUUCGUGAAAACCUCGAUCGAGCAAGGCGAAUACUACUUCCAAUGCUGCAAGUUCGAACGGGACGGCAUUGUGUGUUGUCACAUACUAAAGGUAAUGGACAUGAACGCUGUGACACGGAUGCCCCACCAUUUCAUAAGGUGGCGAUGGAAUUGGGACGCUGACGACGCGUUGGCGCCGCAGACAACACACACGGUUCUGGCUGUGCAUGACGAGAGACCUGAGUCAACCAUGGAAGCCGUGAGGCACGUUGUGCUCACAAAGAACUAUGCUGAGCUAAUUGAUGAAACGUGCAAGAGUGAUGAGACAGCGAGAGUCGCAGAAAAACACAGGAAGGCACUGAAAAGAGAGCUUGAGGAGAUCAAGAAGAGGAACGCUGAGGAAGCCUUACACCGGUUCCCCCGCACAUCAAGUGUGCCUUCAUCGACGGGGCCAUCGUCUGAAAACUCGGAGAUAGGAUCUGGAACAGCAAGCACACAAACCCGGGUCAGGAUCCCACCCCGUUUCAUCACAAAGGGUCGCCCCAGAGAGAUAAGGUACAAGUUAGGAUUGGAGAUUCAAGCAAAACACAAGAAAACGAAGAAAGGGGCGGGCAAUCCAUGA